AGUGAACGCUGGCGGUAGGCCUAACACAUGCAAGUCGAACGGCAGCACAGUAAGAGCUUGCUCUUACGGGUGGCGAGUGGCGGACGAGUGAGGAAUACAUCGGAAUCUACUUUUUCGUGGGGGAUAACGUAGGGAAACUUACGCUAAUACCGCAUACGACCUACGGGUGAAAGCAGGGGAUCUUCGGACCUUGCGCAAUUGAAUGAGCCGAUGUCGGAUUAGCUAGUUGGCGGGGUAAAGGCCCACCAAGGCGACGAUCCGUAGCUGGUCUGAGAGGAUGAUCAGCCACACUGGAACUGAGACACGGUCCAGACUCCUACGGGAGGCAGCAGUGGGGAAUAUUGGACAAAGGGCGCAAGCCUGAUCCAGCCAUACCGCGUGGGUGAAGAAGGCCUUCGGGUUGUAAAGCCCUUUUGUUGGGAAAGAAAAGCAGCAGGUUAAUACCCCGCUGUUCUGACGGUACCCAAAGAAUAAGCACCGGCUAACUUCGUG
rnacentral:rRNA from 1 species